rnacentral:rRNA from 1 species
UUCGCAAUGCCCGAAAGGGUGACGAUGCGACGCCGCGUGAGCGAAGAAGGCCCUAGGGUUGUAAAGCUCUGUCGAGGGUUAUGAAAUAUAGAUGGGUUAAUACCCCAUUUAUUUGACAAAAGCCCAAAAGGAAGCCACGGCUAACUCUGUGCCAGCAGCCGCGGUAAUACAGAGGUGGCGAGCGUUGUUCGGUAUUAUUGGGCGUAAAGAGCACGUAGGUGGUUUUGUAAGUCAGAUGUGAAAGCCUUCUGUUCAAAGGAAGAACGGCAUCUGAAACUGCAGAUCUUGAGUGUAGGAGGGGAGAGUGGAACUUCUGGUGGAGCGGUGAAAUGCGUAGAUAUCAGAAGGAACGUCGGCGGCGAAGGCGACUCUCUGGCCUAUUACUGACACUGAGUGUGCGAAAGUUAGGGGAGCAAACAGGAUUAGAUACCCCGGUAGUCCUAACUGUAAACGAUGGGCACUAAGUAGAGGGGUUUU